UACGAAGGGGGCUAGCGUUGCUCGGAAUUACUGGGCGUAAAGCGCACGUAGGCGGCUUUCUAAGUCGGUGGUGAAAUCCUGGAGCUCAACUCCAGAACUGCCUUCGAUACUGGAGAGCUUGAGUCCGGGAGAGGUGAGUGGAACUGCGAGUGUAGAGGUGAAAUUCGUAGAUAUUCGCAAGAACACCAGUGGCGAAGGCGGCUCACUGGCCCGGUACUGACGCUGAGGUGCGAAAGCGUGGGGAGCAAACAGG
rnacentral:rRNA from 1 species